rnacentral:rRNA from 2 species
CUUGCUGCUUCGCUGACGAGUGGCGGACGGGUGAGUAAUGUCUGGGAAACUGCCUGAUGGAGGGGGAUAACUACUGGAAACGGUGGCUAAUACCGCAUAACGUCGCAAGACCAAAGAGGGGGACCUUCGGGCCUCUUGCCAUCAGAUGUGCCCAGAUGGGAUUAGCUUGUUGGUGAGGUAACGGCUCACCAAGGCGACGAUCCCUAGCUGGUCUGAGAGGAUGACCAGCCACACUGGAACUGAGACACGGUCCAGACUCCUACGGGAGGCAGCAGUGGGGAAUAUUGCACAAUGGGCGCAAGCCUGAUGCAGCCAUGCCGCGUGUAUGAAGAAGGCCUUCGGGUUGUAAAGUACUU